UACGUAGGGGGCAAGCGUUGUCCGGAUUUAUUGGGCGUAAAGAGCGUGUAGGCGGUUCGGUAGGUCCGUUGUGAAAACUCGAGGCUCAACCUCGAGACGCCGAUGGAAACCCCCGAACUAGAGUCCGGAAGAGGAGAGUGGAAUUCCCGGUGUAGCGGUGAAAUGCGCAGAUAUCGGGAAGAACACCCGUGGCGAAAGCGGCUCACUGGACCAUUACUGACGCUGAGGCUCGAAAGCUAGGGGAGCAAACAGG
rnacentral:rRNA from 1 species